GCUGGCGGCGUGCUUAACACAUGCAAGUCGAACGAUGAUCCCUAGCUUGCUGGGGGGAUUAGUGGCGAACGGGUGAGUAACACGUGAGUAACCUGCCCUUGACUCUGGGAUAAGCCUGGGAAACUGGGUCUAAUACUGGAUAUGACUGACUAUCGCAUGGUGGUUGGUGGAAAGCUUUUGUGGUUUUGGAUGGACUCNCGGCCUAUCAGCUUGUUGGUGGGGUAAUGGCCUACCAAGGCGACGACGGGUAGCCGGCCUGAGAGGGUGGACGGCCACACUGGGACUGAGACACGGCCCAGACUCCUACGGGAGGCAGCAGUGGGGAAUAUUGCACAAUGGGCGCAAGCCUGAUGCAGCGACGCCGCGUGAGGGAUGAAGGCCUUCGGGUUGUAAACCUCUUUCAGUAGGGAAGAAGCGAAAGUGACGGUACCUGCAGAAGAAGCGCCGGCUAACUACGUGCCAGCAGCCGCGGUAAUACGUAGGGCGCAAGCGUUAUCCGGAAUUAUUGGGCGUAAAGAGCUCGUAGGCGGUUUGUCGCGUCUGCCGUGAAAGUCCNGGGCUUAACUCCCGGAUCUGCCGUGGGUACGGGCAGACU
rnacentral:rRNA from 1 species